rnacentral:snRNA from 1 species
GCCUCAGUCAAAAUCCAUAUA